rnacentral:lncRNA from 1 species
GGUAGUUGGCGGGGCUUUCUUACCCACAACAUUUCAUCCGUCCUUGCAGUUGGCUGCAUGAUAUAUUUAUUAUUAUGCCAUUUUACAGAUGAGAAAACUGAGACUCGAGUCCACAGGCUAACCAGGGACAGCCUUGGGCCUUCACUCUACUGCCCUUCGCCUCUGUUAUGAGCAUGUGCACAUCAGUCAAGGCUGAAGCAAUCCUUUCAAUGAAAGAAAAUGAUAUUUGCUGUAACUUCCAGCCACUGCUCGAAGAUGAAGAUGAGGCUCAAAGCUGGACAGUGGAGGGAGGCCAGCCAAGGUCAGAACUGCAGAGAUGGCAGAAACAUUCUCCAAGAGACAUUUGAAAGGACCUAGGAUGAAGCCCCGGCAUGGCCCUGCGUGGAGCCAGGACUUGG